UACGUAGGCAGCGAGCGUUGUUCGGAGUUACUGGGCGUAAAGGGUGCGUAGGCGGUUGUUUAAGUUUGGUGUGAAAUCUCCCGGCUCAACUGGGAGGGUGCGCCGAAUACUGAAUGACUAGAGUGCGGGAGAGGAGAGUGGAAUUCCUGGUGUAGCGGUGAAAUGCGUAGAUAUCAGGAGGAACACCCAUGGCGAAGGCAGCAAACUGGUCCGUAUCUGACGCUGAGGCGCGAAAGCGUGGGUAGCAAACAGG
rnacentral:rRNA from 1 species